GUUGCACCCCCAUGGGGCAUGGAGAGGCCAUCCACGAUAUGCCACCAGGCGCGCAAGGGCUGGGCGAGCGCCUCGCUUCUCCUUCCACGCUUAGGCCACGUGUCGAUGCGAGAUUGGCUAAGCUAAAGGAGAAAAAGAAAAGAAUCGGAAGGAGAGGGGAAAAGGUGCCCACCACGAUCCAAACCCUACCCAUUCUGGCCUUCUCCUCUUCUCCCUCGCGCCUCCAUCCCAGCCGCCACCACGCGAGCCUCUCCUCCCCACGGCGCCGCUGGUCCUGCUCCGGCUCCUCCCGCAGGAGGAGAUGAACUGGAAGAUCGCCUCCCACUCCCGCGUCCCUCCCCCUUCCUCUCUCGCGGCGCACCUCCCACUUCCUCCCAAUCCCCUCCGCGGGAGCGCAGCUCGGGCGCGCGGAGCAGGGCCGCCGGUGGAGGCCGCAGCCCCCAAGGUAUGUUGGGCACGAGCGCCGCCUCCCGCCGUCUCCAUCGCCGGCCGGUAGCAGCACCGACCUUGGGCUCGAGCGCUGGCUCCAUUCGGCUCGGGCGCACGGAGCAGGGCCGCCGGUGGAGGCCGCUGCUCCCAAGGUAUGUUGGGCGCGAGCGCCGCCUCCUGCCGUCUCCAUCACCGGCCGGUAGCAGCACCGACCUUGGGCUCGAGCGCCGCCUCGAUUCGUCACCAUGCCCGGCUGGGAGCAGCGCCGGUGAGCCCCACCUCCCCUUGUCGCCAUGGCUUGCCGGUAGCCGCGCCGGCCUUGGGAGCGAGCGGCGACGGGCGGCUGAGGUCCCCAUCACCGUCGCCAUGAUCCAAAUCAAGCCCUCUGUAUGUUUGGAUCAGAGGAUCGAUGGGAUAUUCAACAUGGCUCACAACGAUUGUUCAGAAUCUAUAAUGAAUUAACCAGGUAUUUUGUGGGCUCGGUUGAUUCCUUAACCAGUCAAUAUUUGUCGCCUGAUGUGUUUGUAGCAGCCAACACGCUUCCCUUCCACUUCCCCAGGCUGCAAUAGAAGAUUAAUCCAUCAAGGAGGAGCAGCUUUGAAGCGCCUUGGCCUACCCUACUUGUUGUUCACUGGUGCGCUCCUGCAUGAGGUGCCUGCGGUGGUUUUGCAGCAAGGUUUAGGCCACCAGACAUGUUGUUUACGGCUCGAUCCAUCGCAAUGGACCUCAAGGAAAACUUCUCGACCCACAGGUUUUGCAGCAAGGUUCAGGCCACCAGACAUCUGCCAAUGGAUGUACAACGAGGUUGUACAACGACAAGAACUGAGAAGGUGAGGUGAGGCACCUGGCAUGAUGGAACAAACCGAAGGUAUACUGUUAACAUAAGAACAUAGCUGAUAAAUUUGAUACUUGAGCCGUAACUACUCAAACAUUGACCUUUUUAGUGUUUUCUUUUCCUUUUUAGGUUCAUUAUCAGACAUGUACAUGCCUGGUGUUGCAUAAUGCAUCCCAUGCUUUGCUUGAUCCGUUGUUAUGUUACUCAUGUUCUAAGCCAAAUGUUUAUUUAGAUUUGUUCUAAGCCAAAAGUGCUUCUAUUAUUGUCCCUCUUGUUAAAUUUUAUCGGUUUGAAUGUAUAACUGAGUGGUAAUUAAUUGCAAGGUGAUAGCAUUAUGAUAAAACUGAAUUUGGAAUAAAUAUUUUGUGUCACUUUAAAUGUACAACAAUUUAGAAUAAAUUUCUUCUUGCAACAAUGGUUAGAAUAACUGAAUUACGGUAAAGUCGAUAAUGUGUCCUUUGAAUGUUGUACUAAGAAUCUGCAUAUAGAAAGCAGAACACGCAAAGAAACUGCCCAUAUUUUAAUUGGCGAUUUUGAAGGAAAUAUCUGCUGUUUGACGGCUGAAACCGUUGCGCUUAGCCAUUACAUCACUGUAAACUGAAUCAUAUCUAGCCCGAUCGUAGCCCAUUAGCUUGCAUAUAUACUAGCUUUAUACCAUACAAUACUUUUUCUUCAUAUAUUAUAUUUAGUGUUAGCUUUGGCAAUUUUUGCAGCCGUUGCCGAGCUUCUUGAUAAUGCAAAUAACAAGGUAACCACUGAGGCUUAAUUAGCAUCAAUAUAUUUGCCUAUAGUCCGGUUCCUUUCACUAAUAAUGUUUUUAUUCAAAAGGUAGUGAUAAUGGAUUUGUUCUUUGUUGGUGCAUAUAUAUAUAUUUUUUAGAUGCUUCAGACAUGUUAUUUCUACCUGAGUACAUAUAAAUUUCAGUAUGCUCAUAAAUCAUUUGAAGCUCUAAGCUUGUGUGAGCUCCAAUGAAAUUGAUUGGCCGGCCAAAGGCCACAGUGGGCCUGUACAGUUAUGGAUGGAUGGCGACCGAGGCUGAAGCGGCACUGGAGAUGGAGGAUCUCCUCCAUAGCGCCGUUUCAUCGGGAUUUGGCGGCCGGCCAGAGGCCAUGAUGACCCUGUACAGCGACGGGCAGGCGGCGGCCGAGGCUGGAGGCGACGCUGAAGAAGGAGGAUCUCCUCAACAACUUCGUUUCAUCCGAAUCAAGCUCAACUGCAAAGGUUGAUGCAAGUUUUGCCAAGAACACUGUCAGUUUAGCGGUUUUAAUUAUACAAGCAAUGGGCUCAUUUCUUGCUACUGGAGGUAAAAGUGAAAGGUAGUUCAUUGUUAUUAUUGUCUGAAUUUUUUUGUUUGAACUGAUGUGUCUCGGUGACACAAAAUAUCACAUUUGGCCUCUGAAAAAUAGCACACAGUUUCUGUAAUGACCUUGGUUUGAAUUAACAGAAGUGUGCAACUACAUCAAUGUGUACAUGUUAUCUAAAUAAAGUGACAUGCUAUUAAGAUUUUGUCUCAGUCAGUUUGGAUGGAAGCCUAGACUUCUAGGUAAAUCUUAAUCUUGCAGGUGUUUCUGCUAUUGAGAUUACAGAUGUAGUCUAUUAUGCUUCCAGAAGCUUCAUUACUGUUUUUUUAGAGAAUGCUGCAAAUAGUUACUGUUUUGAUUCUCGAUUCUCUUGAAUACGUAUGAGAUGUGACUAUAUAGGCACAUUAGUUAAGUAAUCCCAACAAGCGUGUAUCUCUCUUUUGUUCACUAAUUGUUUACUCUUGAUAUUUAGUCUGUUGUGUUGCUUUGUUGCUGCACCAUGAAAUUGAGUCAGGUGCUCACAAAUGGAGCCAUGAAAAGGUAACAUGAGUUAUAAUAUUUUCUAUUUUUUUAUCUCUAUUUGUGUUGGAUAACUUCGAAAAAAUUUCUUAACUUUUCUACUGUUGUUAUUGGUUGCGUUUAUAUGUGCUUUACGGGAAGAGAUGCCUCCUUUUCUGCUUGGAUCAUUAACCUACACCGCCUAGGUCAUCCUCUUGUUGGAGAAGUUGUUUAGUUAAUAUCAAGUUGAUCAUAAUAGUAGUUUAUUGUUCCAGAUGGUACAUUGGUAGUUAGGAACAUUGCUAGAUGAGGAUAGUGUUAUAUACCCUGAUGAAUUUUUUGUCCGCAUUACAAAAUAAAGAAGUUUUUCGGGAAUGCUCUGCUUGAUUGCAUUUGGAUUUGCCUAUGGUUGAUUUUUCCACAUGGUACAUUGCUAGAUAGGCAUUUGAUAAACAAGAGCGGUGUUAUCUGCUCUAGCGGAAUUUCUUUUUCGCUGCACAUAGAAAGCAACAAUUUAUUUAAUCAAUAUCAAGUUGAUCAAAGAGGGUAGUGUUUUAUCUGUUGGGAGAGCCCUGUUUUAGGAGUUGCCUCCUCAGAUUGGGUUUGAAGAGGUUGGUUCAGCUAAAAGGUAGCUUCUAUUCUUACUGGGAACAAUCUCCAAUGUAUAGUUAUAACUAUACAUCGUGGGAUUUUAUGCUGAUUGCAGUUUUUUGUUAUACAUUUAUCGGCAAGGUUGAUGUCAUAGAAAGCUGCGGCAACUGUGGCAAACGGUCAGACAAAGAAGAGGUCGUAGAUCAAUAGGUAUAACAUCAAAAUGAUUUAUUUUCGUAAUUUUUAUGCUUUGAUUGCCUUCUAAAUAUUUUUAUUUUCCUGAAAUUAUCUGAAGUUUCAGAUGACUUGCAUAGUUGCCUGUGAAAUAUACUGCUGCACUUAACUACUUGACUUGACUGUUUAAUAAAUUGACUCUCUCAGUCAUGGUACUUGCUUGUGUAAGCUACCAGUGAUAAAUUACGUGAGUAAUUCAUGGAGAAAUAUAUUUGCGAGGGAUUUUCUGAGAAAUAGAUCAGGUAAUGUCUCAGAUUUUAAGCCCAUGAUCGUGUUAAGAUUUUGACUAUUGUCUAGGAUUUGUGUGCCAUUUUUUUGGCAAGGGAUGGUUCAAAAGUUGUGUAUUUGCCAUAACCUGUCAUAUUCCAGAUGAAGCCUUAGCUUCCGGGACAUAUAUAUUAUGCUGCUAAAUAGAAGAUGACCUCAUUUAUAUAGACUAGAACUGCAAUUGUCAAUUGUUAAUCGUUCUUCAUGGAAUCCCUUGAUCUUAUAUCUAAAUUUAGAAGGGUCUUAAUAUUUGUAACGUCUUGUGAUUUGUCUCAGUGGAUUUUACUUUAUCAAUGCCCUUUCAUUGAAUACGCAGUAAGACCAAAAAUGAGAAGUUGGUUUUAUUUUCUCCUAAAUAUGGUUGUCUUAAUUGGCUUCAUGCACAUCAUGUAGAUAAUUAGCCAUCUAUCUUCCCUUUAUCGCAGCCUGGAGGGGACCUUAGGUCGGCACUUAAGAUGGCUCGGCUCACCUUGUUUUUAUACCAAAGACCUGGAGAAAAGGGGAUAGCUUAAUUCUAAAUUUGAAGAUGAGCUUGGGUAGCGGGUGCAGAACCUGAAUUUGAAGAUGCGCAAUGCUAUUUCUCGAUUGCAAUGGCAAAGUAACUACUUUUGUUUGCAUUGCAAUUACAUCUUAGGUAGUUUUUCCAACCUCCUUACUAAACCUUCCGUUGGUAUUCAUUGCUGAAACCAAUUUCUAUUCAGUGCUGCUCCAAUCCAUCUUCAUACAGUACUCAAAUAACAAGCAUAAAAUCAAUGUGGUAUUGCGGUUUUCUUUUGUUUCAGAUAAAGUAAGUGUUCUAUAGGGGAAGGAUUAUUUUUCUGCUUCACUGUCCAGGGACUAGCUAAGAUGUCUCAAAAGUCAUCUGAGUUCAUCCAAUUAGUUAGUUUUUAUAUCUUAACUGAAAUAGAAUUUUCGGAUUUUUUUCCUUUUGAUUUUCCUUGGUGUCUAACUUGAUGAGCUAGAGAAACAAAUUUGUUGUUGAUUUACGAAUUUCUCUUUGAUUUACCAAAAAAAAAACUAACUUGGUUUUCAUUGCUGUCUAACUUGAUGAGUUGGAGAAAAUCACAAACAAUUGCUUAAGAAAUAUAUGCUGCCUAACUUUGUGUCAUCGAUUUUCACUGUUUCAUCACAUUUAUAUGCUCCGUUACGAAUCACUGGACCUAGGUAUGUGUUCACGGAUUUGAUCUUCAUGUGUUAGUUCAUUUAUAUGAGAAGUUACUUUGUUCAGUCUAAAUACCAUCUCGCAUUUUGUGCAGAGAUGGCAAGACUGUUAUCAUCUGAUCAGUCAGGAGAGUGUUGCUCUAGGAAUCGCCGCUUCGGAUUGGGUCUUAAGGCAUGCUUCAGUUGGGACCUCCGUUUGAGUUUGAAGAGGCCAAUAAAUAUCACUUUGGAAAUUUGGUCUUCAGUGGAGCAACCAAAUAUGAAGCAAAGAUUAAGGAGAAAGCAAGGACAAUAAAAGCCACUUUUAUGUAACAAAAGCCACUUGUGUAUAAGAUGAAUAGUUGGUUGUAUAUAAGUUCUUCUCAAAUAAUGAUUUCGUAGCCUCCAUUACUCUGUAAGCUUAAUAGAAAGUUUUGACAUAAUGUUUGUCAGUGCAAAAGACGGGGCCAGAACUUCAUAGUAAGAAAGCAUAAGGUGUAGAUCUUAUGCCUUUUACUAUAUGUUGGUGGCACGCUGGCACUGAGAUGAGGCCACUGAUCUCCUUAGCAUUUUGCAUCUAUUUGUAUAUUGAUAUGUUUGUUUUUUGCUGCAA